rnacentral:rRNA from 1 species
UACAGAGGGUGCGAGCGUUAAUCGGAAUUACUGGGCGUAAAGCGCGCGUAGGCGGCUUUGCAAGUCGGGUGUGAAAUCCCCAGGCUUAACCUGGGAACUGCAUUCGAGACUGCAUUGCUAGAGUAUGGGAGAGGGAAGUGGAAUUUCCGGUGUAGCGGUGAAAUGCGUAGAUAUCAGGAGGAACACCGAUGGCGAAGGCAGGUCUCUGGGCUGACACUGACGCUCAUGCACGAAAGCGUGGGGAGCAAACAGG